CUUAUCCCGACAAUGUCAGCAAGGACCCAAGAGAGUCCAUGUGUCCUCUCUGACAGGGUCAGCACUCAGUGCUACUUACCCUCACAUUUGCAAAGUGGUCAUAACAUUUCUUUUCAUCACCUGAAGAGAUGUGUAACCAGGAAAAGGACAGCAUUCAUCUCUCAGCUGAUAAGAAGGCUGGUGGAUGAAAAAUAUAUCAUCUAUGGCUAAAGUAGAACGCUUAACAAUGGUUGGAAUUAGAGGGUUGAGAAUUACACCAGUCUCUCAGUUGGACUUCUUAGUGCCUAAGAAAAUCUGCCUUCUUCUGGAGAGAAUCCUGUAUCUAGGGAGCUACUGGGCCAAAAAAAGUCAAAUGGCUCCAUAAUUCUCCCCAAGGUGGCAUGUUUGACAAGCUGGAUAAGAAGAUGACAUCCACAUCCUGGCCUUUCUAUUCCUCAAAUAAAUGAAACUAAAACAUGAAACAAUGAGAACACUUCUAGUUGGAUU